ACCAGGCUCCCAGAACGUUAAGUCAGACGGAUUGUCCCGGAGGAGCGGCCCAUGGAUCCCACUCCCAUACUCCCCGCCUCUUGCCUGGUGGCGCCGGUAGUGUGGGAGCUGGACGCGGACAUUGAGUAGGCGUUACGUGCAGAGCCCGCUCCCCUCCAGUGUCCAGCUGGGCGUCAGUACGUUCCGUCUGCUGUCCGCGACCGAUUGAUCUACUGGGCCCACACGUUACCCUCCUCUGGUCAUCCUGGGAUCGGUCGGACGGUGCGCUGUCGUAGUGGGAAGUACUGGUGGCCCACUUUGGCUAAGGAUGUGAGGGUUUAUGUUUCCUCCUGCUCGGUGUGCACCCAGUGUAAGGCUCCCAGGCACCUGCCCAGAGGGUAACACUACGAUCCUGGUCGUUGUCCCUUUGCCCGGUCUCCCUACGGCCCUACAGACUGCGGAGGCCCUGUUUACACACGUCUUCCGGCACUACAGGGUGCCUGAGGAUAUGAUCGAGGUCCCCAGUUCACGUCGAGGGUCUGGAGGGCAUUCAUGGAAUGUCUGGGGGUCUCAGUCAGCCUUACCUCAGGUUUUCACCACGAGAGUAAUGGGCAGGGGGAGAGAGUUAACCAGGAUGUGGUGUGUAUUGGGGUAUCAGCCGGUUCUGGCUCCUUGGCAUCAGAGUCAGACCGAGGCUCCUGUGGUGGACGACUGGUUCCGGUGCGCGGAGGAAACAUGGGACGCCGCCCAUGUCCACCUUCAGCGUGCCGUGCUGCGCCAGAAGAAUGGGAGAAACUCCCCAAAUACAGCUGAAGACAACACCAAUGAAGACAUGUCAGACCACCAGACGGGUCCAUCUCAGCAAAUAAGAGCCCAGCGUUGCUCUAGCCAGUGAUCAGUUUUGACCAUUCUGCCUGCCCUGACCCUGAGCCUGCCUGUCUGACGUUCUGUACCUUUCUGACACUGCCCUGGAUUACUGACAUCUGCCUGCCCUGACCCUGAGCCUGCCUGCCGUUCUGUACUUUACUGACUCUGCCCUGGAUUACUGAC
rnacentral:lncRNA from 1 species